GAAUUUUGGUCAAUGGGCGAAAGCCUGAUCCAGCAAUGCCGCGUGCAGGAUGAAGGCCUUCGGGUUGUAAACUGCUUUUGUACGGAACGAAAUGCUUGGGGUUAAUACCCCGGCGUCAUGCUCGUACCGUAAGAAUAAGCACCGGCUAACUACUUGCCAGCAGUCGCGGUAAUACGUAUGGUGCAAGCGUUAAACGGAAUUACUGGGCGGAAAGCGGGCGCAGGCGGUUUUGUAAGACAGAGGUGAAAUCCCCGGGCUCAACCUGGGAAAUGCCUUUGUGACUGCAAGGCUAGAGUACGGCAGAGGGGGGUGGAAUUCCGCGUGUAGCAGUGAAAUGCGUAGAUAUGCGGAGGAACACCGAUGGCGAAGGCAACCCCCUGGGCCUGUACUGACGCUCAUGCACGAAAGCGUGGGGAGCAAACAGG
rnacentral:rRNA from 1 species